GAAGUGGGAGAUGACAUCAAAGAAAAAUACAAGAAAUUAGUCUUGGAGCAAAACAUUCCUGAGGAACACAUCAAAUACUUUGAGAAUGUUGAACAAUGCACUCCAGAAGCUGCCUAAUAGCCAGAUAUAGCAUUUCUCCAUAUAUAUUCACACCAUUGGUUAAUAAUAAGAAAUACCCAAUAAUUAUUACUCUUUCUGAAUGGUGGAGACGAUGAUGACUACGGAUCAAUGCCUCUGUCCACUCACCACAUUUCUGGCUUAAAGAAAUUGAUGCAAUUAGAACAACAACGUCUUUGGGUUCCUCCCUCUCCUGAAACUAUUUUAAAAAUAAAUACAUUGCUUAGAUCUUGCA